rnacentral:rRNA from 1 species
UACAGAGGUCUCGAGCGUUAGGCGGAAUCACUGGGCUUAAAGCGUGUGUAGGCGGAUCGUUAAGUGCCUUGUGAAAUCCCACGGCUCAACCGUGGAACUGCUUGGCAUACUGGCGGUCUUGAGCAACCUAGGGGCGAGCGGAACAAGUGGUGGAGCGGUGAAAUGCGUAGAUAUCAUUUGGAACGCCAAUGGUGAAAACAGCUCGCUGGGGGUUUGCUGACGCUGAGACACGAAAGCCAGGGGAGCAAACGGG